rnacentral:rRNA from 1 species
GUCCACGCCGUAAACGAUGAAUGCUAGAUGUUGGGGGACCGUAGUUCCUCAGUGUCGCAGCUAACGCGAUAAGCAUUCCGCCUGGGGAGGUACGGCCGCAAGGUUAAAACUCAAAGGAAUUGACGGGGGCCCGGCACAAGCGGUGGAGCAUGUGGUUUAAUUCGACGCAACGCGAAGAACCUUACCAGCCCUUGACAUGGGAGUUUUGGGUUCCCGGAGACGGGAUCCUUCGGUUCGGCCGGGCUCCACACAGGUGCUGCAUGGCUGUCGU